rnacentral:misc_RNA from 1 species
UUUGGCGUGUAUGGGCAUGUUGGAUCCCUGCUCGGGCAGCGACGACAUCUCAUGCAUGCCUCUUCAUUUCUUGGCUCAAGUGCGCCUGUGCCUUGGCCGGUGUCCGGUUUCCUGUAUUGCAUACCUAUCGAGAAGGCAUUUGACGGUUCAAGAUGUCCCGUUUCCGCCUUGUGCUGCGCCUUUCGGGGCUGCGGUGCGGGGUGGACCCCUAAGCAUCCGUCGUGUUCCACGUCCGAUGCAUCUCUGCGUGUGCUCGCGUCGUUGGCCCAUGACGGCAUGCUCGAUAUCUCGGAUGCGGAAAACUGAGAGGGUACGAGGCCCCCGGCCUCUAUUUGCCCCAAAACAAGCGUUCGACGCUUCGUGCGAACGACGGCCGUUCCCGUUUUGUUGCGAGUCCUAGCGGCUCGACGCAUGCGGUUUCGGCGUCGAUAAGGAAUGCUAC